CUGAUGAGGGUGGGUGUGGAGGGUUCUCCCUUCCUGAGCAUGAGACCACUUCCUGCCCAGGGGGUACUGAAGGCAGGAUGUUGUUGAUAGCGGCCUCGCCAUUUUCACAGAGCGGCCCUCACCACUUUCACAGAGGACAGGACUAGGUCUCUCCAUCGGAGUCCCAAGAUAUAGAGAGUGGAAGAUGUUGGUAGUUCUCGUGGAUCAUCGGGAAGGACACAGAGAAGAGGAAAGACAGUCACUCUGAGGCCAUCCUGCAUCUUGGACACGAUUCUAUGGAAGGCACCAAAAGGAGACACAGUGGACUCUAGCUCAUGGGAAGUUCUAGGGACCUGAGCGGGUAGGAGUAAAGCAAAACACCAAAUGAAGGAAACAUAGAGGUCGCCUUAACACAGAACCAGAUUUAGAAAGAACGAGUCAAAGGUGACACCCCAUCAUUGACUGUUAUAGCAAACAACACUUGCCAUUUAUCCCAGUCCACUUCCUUGCUUCCAGCACCAGAGACCCAGCCCCAGCAAAUGGAGGGCAUGUCCUAGAAUGACACCUGCCUCUCCCCAUCACUUCUAGGAGGGGUUGGAAAGGUGCCAGAGCAACCCACCUGCCUUCCCCACCCCAAGCCGUCUGACGCGUGAGCCUGGCUGACUGGAGACAGGGAAGGAGGUGAAAAGAGUUAAUUCUGUUUGUAUAGACAUACUGGUGGCAAAUGGGCUUUGGAGUUCGAGGCAGCGCCACGCGUCUGGACUUGCCCACCAGAAGCCGGUGCUGGCUUUCAACUAGACAUGGUUUCAGAGAAGAAAUGGCCCACGCUUCAGGAGCUCACAGGAAGAAAUGGUCUCUUCUGAAGGUUGCCAUGUCAAAACAUGAUGCUUGGAACUACUAUAGCC